GCCGGCCCUCCGCCUCCUCCUCCGCCUCCUCCUCCUCCUCGGCCUCGGCCUCGGCCUCGGCAAGGUCCUCCUCGAAAAGGUCCUCCUCGAAAAGGUCCUCCUCGCCGCGUUCUUCCUCGCCGCGUUCUUCCUCGCCACGUUCCUCCUCGCCGCGUUCUUCCUCCUCACCAGGUUCUCCUUCUUCAUGUCCUCCCUUACCAUGUUCUUCCUCAUCAUGUUCUUCCUCAUCAUGUUCUUCUUCUCCAUGUUCUUCUUCUCCACGUUCUUCCUCAUCAUGUUCUUCUUCUCCAUGUUCUUCCUCUCCAUGUUUUUCCUCACCAUGUUCUUCUUCUCCAUGUUCUUCCUCUCCAUGUUCCUCAUCAUGUUCUUCUUCUCCAUGUUCUUCUUCUCCAUGUUUUUCCUCACCAUGUUCUUCUUCUUCAUGUUCUUCUUCUCCAUGUUCUUCUUCUUCAUGUUCUUCUUCUCCAUGUUCUUCUUCUCCAGGUUCUUCCUCACCACGUUCUUCCUCACCAUGUUCUUCCUCAUCGGGUUCUUCUUCUCCAUGUUCUUCCUCACCACGUUCUCCCUCACCACGCUCUUCCUCCUCCUCCUCCUCCUCCUCACGUUCCUCCUCCUCUUCCUCCUCGCCUGCAAGACACGCAGCCGGCGUCAGGCCGGGGUGACCGGCCACCAACCGCCGACCCCUCCGGCGCCUCGGUUUCCCCACUCACCCUGGAGGGCGGCGCCGGGCUCCGGGCACGGCUCCGUCCAGGUGGCGGCGGUGGCCGCCAGCGGCAGGUACCUGCGGGUGUCACCGGUGGCGGUGGUCGGGGGGGACACGUCGGCGCCCCGGGGGGGCGGUGGGGUGGCCCCCGGGGAUGUCCCCGAUGGUCGGGGUGGCCUCAGGGUGAGGGAGACCCCAGGGUGUGGGGACACCGGUCUCAUGGACUGUCCCCAUGUCCCUGUCCCCAUGUCCCCAUCUCGUCCUCGUGUCCCCGUCCCUGUGUCCAUCGCCUUGCCCCCAUCUCAUCCCCGUGUCCCUACACCCCAUGUCCCCCUCCCCUUGUCCCCGUCCCCAUGUCUCCAUCUCAUCCCCAUGUCCCCGUGUCCCCAUCUUGUCCCCAUGCUCCAUGUCCCCAUGUCUCCAUCCCCAUGUCCCCAUCUCAUCCCCGUGUCCCUACACCCCAUGUCCCCAUCCCCUUGUCCCCAUCCCCGUGUCCCCUCCCCAUGUCCCCAUCCCAUCCCCAUGUCCCUGUCCCCGUGUCCAUCCCCAUGUCCAU
rnacentral:lncRNA from 1 species